rnacentral:rRNA from 1 species
AGAGCGAACGCUGGCGGCAGGCCUAAUACAUGCAAGUCGAACGGAUCCUUCGGGAUUAGUGGCGGACGGGUGAGUAACACGUGGGAACGUGCCCUUUGGUUCGGAACAACUCAGGGAAACUUGAGCUAAUACCGGAUGUGCCCUUCGGGGGAAAGAUUUAUCGCCAUUGGAGCGGCCCGCGUCUGAUUAGCUAGUUGGUAGGGUAAAGGCCUACCAAGGCUUCGAUCAGUAGCUGGUCUGAGAGGAUGAUCAGCCACACUGGGACUGAGACACGGCCCAGACUCCUACGGGAGGCAGCAGUAGGGAAUCUUGCGCAAUGGGCGAAAAGCCUGACGCAGCCAUGCCGCGUGAAUGAUGAAGGUCUUAAGGAUUGUAAAAAUUCUUUCAGCGGGGACGAUAAAUGACGGUACCCGCAGAAGAAGACCCCGGCUAACUUCGUGCCAGCCAGCCGC